rnacentral:rRNA from 1 species
CUGCUAAAUGGUGACGCGGAGGGACAUUAAAGAGUUAAAAACAACUCCUAAACCCAUGUGAAACCUACCUUUGUUGCCUCGGCAGGUCUGCAACUUACCCUGAGGGUACCUACCCUGUAGGUACCUUACCCGGUAGUUGCGGGCAUAACCUGCCGGUGGUCUACUAAACUCUGUUUACUAUGUCAUUCUGAAUAAUAUAACUAAAUAAGUUAAAACUUUCAACAACGGAUCUCUUGGUUCUGGCAUCGAUGAAGAACGCAGCGAAAUGCGAUAAGUAAUGUGAAUUGCAGAAUUCAGUGAAUCAUCGAAUCUUUGAACGCACAUUGCGCCCAUUAGUAUUCUAGUGGGCAUGCCUGUUCGAGCGUCAUUUCAACCCUUAAGCCCUGUUGCUUAGCGUUGGGAGCCUACAGAUACCCUCUGUAGUUCCUUAAAGUUAGUGGCGGAGUCGGUUUCACACUCUAGACGUAGUAAAUUUUAUCUCGCCUAUAGAUGAGCCGGUCCCUUGCCGUAAAACCCCCUAAUUUCUAAAGGUUGACCUCGGAUCAGGUAGGAGUACCCGCUGAACUUAAGCAUAUCAAUAAGUGGAGGAAAAA